UUGGACUACUUGGUCUCAGAUUCCUUCCAAAUCUGUGAUUCUGUGCUUCCGCAAGUUUUUACUGGUCUCAAGAAAAAGAUUGGAACCUUGGAUGGUUGUUUCCAAUCUUGUUGCAUCUUGUAAUUUGAGAGAGCAGAAGUCAAUUCAUAGUCCAAUAUUCUUAGCGCAAUAGGAAAUUAACAUCAUCUUCAAAUCAUUUGUGGAAGUUGCAAAAUGCUCAUGAAUUAAGUUUGAUUUCCCUGAGAUUUUUCUAUGUACAUCCCUAUUACUAUGAUCCUAGAAACAAAUUUUGACCUUUGCAGCUCUUUUAUUCAAUUUAACAUUAUUUUUUUCUUUUUUAAAACAGGUUUUUACUGUACUUAUUGAACAAUACAGGAGUCUUGGGGGCCAAAAUAACACUUGCAAAAUGCCCAUGAAUUUUAACCAAAGACUGCAGAGCUAGAUGAUUAAAAGCUUUGAAUUUUCAAAGAGCAACAUGAUUAAUCCAGGACCACAGUGCUGAGUGGCUUCACACUGGCUUCAUUUGUAGACCUCUGAUUUUAUUCAUGUAGCAAACUCUCUCUACAAAUGUAGGCUAGCAACUGCUUGGGAACCUGUUAUCACAGAGAGCUGUCUUGGACUGAGAACUUAAGUCACUUGUUUAGGGCAACUGAGUCCUGUGUGUCAAAGGUGUGAAAACUGAGGAUCAGAGAAGGUAAGGGACUUCUUCAAAGUUCCAGAGCUAGUAAAUAUUAGAAGUGGUAUUUGAAAUGAGGUUUUCUGACUGCUUUGCCAGUGUUCCUUCCAUUUUAUUACAUUGCCUCCUAGACAUGUAAUAGACCCCCCCCCCCACACACACAUCAUGUUAUCAGCUGAUAAUUCCUUGCAAACUAAAAAUAAAUACCAUUUCAACAUUUGCUAUUAAAACAAGUAUAGUAAGGAAAUAGAGUUAUUGGCUCAGGAGCAGCAUUA